rnacentral:lncRNA from 1 species
UCUGAAUAAUAGAUAUAAUCAUUCACUUACAUACAUCUCAAUACGUCAUAAUUCAUCAAAUCAUGAACAAGUUUAAAUCAUUCACUAUAUAUUAAUUCACCACCGAGUUACUCACAAACAACAUAAGGUCGAGCUUCACCUCCCACCACUCUCUUAAAGAGCUUCACCGGGCCGGUACACUGUACUACUAUUACAUGAUAACAUUUCCCACCACUCUCUGGAAAGCUUCACCGGCAAGUACACCACUUUCCACCACUCUCUUAGAGCUUCCCCGGGCAAGCAUAUGCUUUCCACCACCCUCUUGGGCUUUACCGGACAAGUAUACACCCCCCACCACUCUAUUCCCAGAGAGCUUCACCGGACAAGUACCAGUGCUACUCCCACCACUUUCCAGGAGCUUCACCGGGCAUCACAAACAUAAACNCAAUUUCACAAGAAAUAGCAAUAUCUUACUCACAACUAGACAACAAACUCUCAAAUACUAAGCAUUCUCCAAACAGUAUCAAUGUAAUCAUCAAAAUAAUGACAAGUCUACCAUACCAUCCAAAAUAGUCCACCAAAAUAUGAUAUAGGAAAAUAUAUACUACCCACACCCCCUUUUCUAAUAACUAACACUUUUACGUAACUCACCAACNAUUAUUCUUACUUAUUUUAAUAACUCAAGGUCCCACCACUUAUAACUUUCUCUCUCACCAACUUUAUCUCUUUCAUGUCAAAACCAAGACCACUACAAGAAAAAUGAGAUUUAUCUACCGAUAUUUAUAUACGGAUUUUGAUCCGUAGAUAACACAUGUAUUACAUACAGAUUUUAUAUACGAAUUUUUAAAAAAGAAUUAUAUACAGAUUUUACAUACGAAUUUUAUAUACGGAUAUUUUCGUAUAUAAAAUCCAUAUAUAAUCUAGAAAAAUAUUAUUUACUAAUAUUAUAUACGGAUUUUCAAAAUUAAUUAUUAAAAAUUAUUAAAAAAUAAAAAUAAAAACUCACAUUUUAUUAGUUAUUAAAAUAGAAACUAAAAAUUUUCUAUCACGCCUUAAACCGUAUCACUCAUUCACAUAUUCAAAAUCGGUCUCUCUCACUCAAACCAUCGUAACCCUAGCCUCCAUCUCUUCUUCGCGUUGGCCUAUCCCAGAACCCUAGUCUUGACGAUUUGUUCCUUCUCCCUCAAAAUCAAUCUCUUUCACUCAAACCCUCAGAACCCUAGCCUCCACUAUGCAUGUCUUCUUUUAGGAAAACAAUUCUUUCGAUUCUUUGCGCUUAGGAGCUCGGAGAGUGUUGAAUUUGUC